UCAGCCACACUUUGUCACGCUCUGCCUGUACCAACAGUAACACAACUCAGUCUACUAUAAGAUGAUUCCCUGUCGGUAGAAACCCCCCCCCUUGUAGUUCACAUCAUGAACACCAUGAUGCUCUUAUGUUCCAACAAAUCACCCAGCUAUCAUGCAGCCCAUCUAGCUAGUUCAAGAGUACUAGGAGGCUCGCUUAAUCGGUCGAUAACCCCCAAAUGUUCUCUCAGUGAUCAAGUAUGUUGCCAUCUUUCGAGUGAAGAGGGACGUUUAGACAAGUGGCCAUGGUGCAGAGAAUGAGGUGAGAACUGAUAAACAUGUUGUCCUUUUAAAGGGAGGCCACCAAUCAAACAACCACCGACUACUCGACUAGCACCCGUCUUCGUGGAAGCAGUGGUUCAACAUUGAGGUCUCUCCUGGGCUGAAGGGAGAGGUGCCAUGCAGAUUCCCUGACUGGCCUGGCCUGGAGCAAUGGGGGCUGUAGACUUGUUACCGAAGUCGCCUGGAAGCCUCGGUAACCCCAGUGGUCCUCCCCACAUCAGCCUCCGAUUGAGAGCCAACCCUGCUGCUCCUGUAGCACUGGAGCUCCAUGAACUUUUGGCAACAACAUCGAGCCCACAUCUAAAAGGAACAAGGUCAUUCUGUUUGUGAUCAUGUGUUGGGGGAAUUGUGCCCACGUAUUUGUUGAGCAUGUGUAACAUGCAAGUUGUUAAAUGGCGAGACAAUAAUUAAGGCUGAUUGUUCCUUUCAGAUUUUUUUUAUGGUAAAAAGAAAAUUGCCCCAUGACUCGCCUCAUCAAGCCAUUAAGGAGGCAUAUAACUAAAUUAUGAAAUGGUCAUUUGUAAAUGAUUGUUAUUUUUCCAUGACUACUGAAUACUCACUAAUUACAAGAAUGCCAGAAUUACUGUUAUCAUAACCUGUCAAUACAAUCCAAAUACAACUUUUCAUGUGAAUGA